rnacentral:lncRNA from 1 species
GUAUUUCUGGCUGCAUCGUGCCGCCACCAUUUGGGGACUUCUGCAGCUCUCUUACAGAGCCAUCUGCCCCCACGCUAGGCGGACAGUCUCCAGCUCUGGUAGCUGCUGGACUGAGGAGUCCUCCAGUUUGCAGUUUCCACCUGCAGUGGGGCUGAAUAUCCUGUUCCAGAAGCCCUUUGUCUACUUGGGCGCUUUAGUAUUCCUGUCUCCGAACCCAGCGGUGGGAGACAAGGGGACAUUCUCAGAGUCCCUUCUCAGGAGCACACUGGUCACUGACUGCAAGUAAACCUCAUGUGGAACUGUUUGGCCUGGUGUGGUCCUUCUGAAGCCGGGAGACAUUCAAGAUCAUAACAAUGAGUACUCAUGAAACCUGCAAUCCUGGAGCUCUCUGCAUCGCUUGUAUGCAGCUCAACAGGCCCCAGAGAUCUCCUCACUACAAUGAAGCUGGUAUGAGGCUUCUCCUUCACCAGGUACAGAGUGGGACUGGAGACCGGAAGCAGCGGGGACUCCCGCUAGGAUGUGUGUGGUGGUACUGAGAAGCUGCUCGGUGCUGGCAAUGGCUUCCCUACUGGGUUACCACGAGCUGCACCUUAGCAGAGAUGCGCGUCCCUCAGCGGCCUAUUUGUUUCCUGCUUUGCUUUGAUAAGUGGUAUCUGCGAUGACAGCGAGAGCACACAUAUAUCUAACUUUAAAAAGAUUCGAUUCUGCCCAUUAUGAUUUCCUCGCUGCUGGUAUUUUGAUGAAGAGGGAGACAGACAGUAACGCUUCCCCGAGAAAGAAACGGAUCUCAUCCUACCUCCUGUUGGUCUUCUGUGUCUGUGUUAGCCACUGUCAGCGGAAACCAGAGAAGACUAGGUCUUGCGUUAUGAGAGCCAGAGCCUAGGGCCUGACACAGUUCAUUCUUCAUCGUAGAACCCAGUACAGCAAGGUAUCUUGAGCCCUUUGAGUCCAAAUGCUGUGUCAAAUGCUCGCUCUGCCUCAUACCGCUGGACCUGAUUCCCACGGGAUCAGCAUGCUGGUAUUGGAAGCUACCGAGAAACCUCCUGCAGCUUUGCGAUUUCUUCUGUUCAGGAUCCAAGCUCGUAACUUCAGAUGAACCUGGGAUUGCCUGGAAGACACAGCUGCCUGGACCCCACAGCUGGCAUAUUUAUCCUCUCAUGUAGUCGACUGACAGCCAGGGGAGCCGCACCCUGCUCGCGGUGAGGAGUUGUCUGUGCUGACCUUCCGUCUGUGGACUGUGGGCGAAGAUCAAAGCCCUCUCCAGUAGUUACUUCAACUCAAGUUUCUCAAAAAAAAAAAGGAAGAAAGAAAAAGUAAAA